GACGAACGCUGGCGGCGUGCUUAACACAUGCAAGUCGAACGGAAGGGCACUGCUAUUGUGGGGUGCUCGAGUGGCGAACGGGUGAGUAACACGUGAGUAACCUGCCCUAGACUUUGGGAUAACUUCAGGAAACUGGGGCUAAUACCGGACAGGAGCCCCUGCAGCAUGGUGGGGGUUGGAAAGUUUCGGCGGUUGGGGAUGGACUCGCGGCUUAUCAGCUUGUUGGUGGGGUAGUGGCUUACCAAGGCUUUGACGGGUAGCCGGCCUGAGAGGGUGACCGGCCACAUUGGGACUGAGAUACGGCCCAGACGCCUACGGUAGGCAGCAGUGGGGAAUAUUGCACAAUGGGCGGAAGCCUGAUGCAGCAACGCCGCGUGCGGGAUGACGGCCUUCUGGUUGUAAACCGCUUUCGCCUGUGACGAAGCUUGUGUGACGGUAAUGGGUAAAGAAGCACCGGCUAACUACGUG
rnacentral:rRNA from 1 species